rnacentral:rRNA from 1 species
AUGAGGAGAGGCGGCUCCUCGUCGGCGGCGAACGCCGGCGGGGGCGGCGGCGGUGGCCUGGCGAUCACCGAGCGGCAGCAGAAGCCGGCGCCGUCGCGCGUGGCGGCGCUGUUCCAGAUGCUCGCCAGGAGGAAGCUCUUCUCCUCCUCCUCCUCCAAGAAGACCAAGCUGCUCGCCCCAGUGCGCGAGCAGAGGUUAUUAUCGCAGGGGAGGCCACCCGGCGGCGGCGAGAAGACGCCGGUGGCCAAGAAGAGGCCUCUCCUGCUUGAUUCUGCAGACUAUGCAAGGAGUAAAAGUGAAAGCCAUGGCACCAGCCGCUUGCCACCGCCAAGCCAAGACAGCAAUUCCAGUGAGAUGUGCAACCCGGGUGUGGUAGCCCGGUUAAUGGGCCUCAGCUCAAUGCCGGCUAUCAGCCAUGAAAGGUCAGCCAGAGCCACUGACUCCUCCGAGUCCGAGGUCGCCGGUCACCGGAAUGAACGCUCUCAAGGCUUGCCUGGUAGCUCAGGGAGCAUGGCCGCCUCGCAUCAGAAGCCAGGGCAGGUCAUGGAUGAAUGGCAUGACAACGCCGGCAAAUUCAAUGCAGAUUCACAGGCAUUGUGGUCAGGGAGGCACCACAAUCACAAGGUUGCUUCACCUCUUAAGAGCCCAAGGUCAAUUUCAAGCAGGAACAAAGCUCGGCUGAUCGAAGCGGCUGCCAGGGUUCUGGAACCCGGUCUGCAGUCCAGGAAUCGCCACCGAGCUCAGCGACAUGCACGCUUGGAGUAUCCAUGCAACGGCGACGGUGUGGCGACUACUGCUGCUGCCGUACGUAAUUCGCCGGAUCAAUUCUCAAGAGAAAUGGGUGAUGUUGAUGCACCAAUGUCUGGUGCUGGCAGCGUAGGAGCUGCCUCUCUGCACAAUUCUGCUCCCAGACAGUGGUCUGAAGAGAACUGCAAGAAGAUUGCUGCUGAUAGGAAGCCAAACCAGAAUGUCCCAUGGCAAGGGCAACCUGGAGGAAACAUUAAGGUUUUGCCUGUAAGCAACCCAAGCCAGAAGGCUAGGUUUAAGGACAGUGAUCCGAUGAUCCUCAAUGCUACCGCUGAUAUAUAUCAAGAUGUCCGAAAAGUUCAGCCGAGGAAUGUACCCCGUGGGAAUGUUGCUUCUGGCCCUCUCAAGCAGAACAACCUGAAGCAGAACGCAUUGCCUACAGUUCCUAGAACAGAAGAUCCACAACAUAUGAUUCAGAGGCAGAAACAUAGAACUGGGGAGCAACCUGCGUCAAGCACAGGGAAGGAUUUUGUUUCGUUAAACAAAAGUAUGAACAGCAGUACAUCUUUGAGGUCCAAAGGAAAAGUAAUGGAUGAAAUUCGCCUGCCACGUAGCAAUGCACAGAACAAGAACCUGAACACAAAAGUCCAUCGUAUCGGUGGCGUACGCAGCGAUAGCUCUAACAAACCGAAGCCAAGGACUGCAUCACCAAAGGCUAUGGAGAAAGAUAUGAUAAUUGCAAAAGGCGCAGGGUUGGUUAGCGAGAAGCCGAAGACUGCCAGCCCAAUCCAUGUUAGGAAUGACUUGCUGAGACCGGUAGAGCCGCGCAAUGCUUCCAGGUGUAAUGACUCGGACAUUGUUUCUUUCACUUUCAGCUCACCGAUGAAGGCUACCCCUACUUCUUUGCGCAGCAAAAACACUAGUGCUGUUCUGGGAUCUGCAAAUGGUCCUAAAAGAAACUCUCAUAGGGACUGUCAAAGUAUUUCUUCAGAAAGGGAAUUGGUUUUCAGGGAAAAAUUGCGAGGCACAUCAAGCAUGGACGAUGAAGAAUCAGUCUGGUUUAAUCGAGACGAGUUGAAGAACAGAGAUAUUCCUGGAAGCCGAGGCAGAGUAACCGCUUCAUGGUCAGAGAAGGCGAGUGAUGCUCCUGUCCUACAAAGAUCGUCAAGCGAGGAACUUCUGCGGGAGUUGGACAGUCUGAUGCAUGUCUACGGAGAGCUUCCUAAUUCCGUUGAGUUGCGCGAGACUCAUAAAAAGCUCGAGGCCAACGGGAAAGCUAGUGAUACAUCUCGAUCUGUACCUGGAGGCAACCGACAACGAGGAAAACUCCGACCUACAUAUGCAGAUGAGAACUGCACUUCUGGGAACUCAAACUGCACUAAAGAGGCUCAACUCGAAGACAGACGCCCGUCGGAGACUUGUGCGCCGCCAUCUAGCGCGCGAGACGCGGCGACCGAGAGAAAUGCCAGGCGAGCCGAGCCUAACUCUGGCGAGCAUGGCGCGCACCGUCUUGCACCGGCGGUGCAGGGCAGCAAGCCGGUGCGCCCUGGGCAUGGAGAGGUCACAUCGACCGUCGACCUGCUGCUAACAAACGUCUGCUCGUCCGGCCUACGAAAUUCCAAGGAGGCUUUUCUUCUCAGGACAUCUGAAUCUGUGCUCGCCACCCUGACCCCGAGAAGCUCCGGCAACAACAGCAGACCCAAGGCCCCCGGAGCGAACCCGCUGCGCAGCCUCGCGUCCGACCUGGUCACGGAGUGCCUGGACUCGAUGUGCGCCGAGCUCUGCGACUCCGGCUACACGCCGUUCACGAGGCUCGCCGCGACGGUCCGCACAGAGCAGCGGCUGGCCGCGGAGGUCCGGAGGGAGGCGGCGAGGCGCGGCGUCGAGGCCGGGCAGCAUGCCCUGGACGACCUCGCCGCCGGUGACGUGGAGCGCGCGGCGGCGGCCGGCGUGGCGCGCGAGGCGUUCCGGAUCGGCGCGCUGAUCGAGCGGGACCUGGUGCAGGAGCUGGCGCACGAGCUCGGGCUCGACAUGCUCAGAGCGGCCGCCGUGAACUUGUAA